rnacentral:rRNA from 1 species
AGAGUUUGAUCAUGGCUCAGGAUGAACGCUGGCGGCGUGCUUAACACAUGCAAGUCGAACGAGCGGAGACUUCGGUCAAAGCGAGUGGCGGACGGGUGAGUAACGCGUGGGUAACCUGCCCCAUACAGGGGAAUAACCGUGAGAAAUCACAGCUAAUGCCGCAUAAGCGCACAGUGCCGCAUGGCACGGUGUGAAAAGCUGAGGCGGUAUGGGAUGGACCCGCGUCUGAUUAGGCAGUUGGCAGGGUAACGGCCUACCAAACCAACGAUCAGUAGCCGGCCUGAGAGGGUGACCGGCCACAUUGGGACUGAGACACGGCCCAGACUCCUACGGGAGGCAGCAGUGGGGAAUAUUGCACAAUGGGGGAAACCCUGAUGCAGCAACGCCGCGUGAGUGAAGAAGUAUUUCGGUAUGUAAAGCUCUAUCAGCAGGGAAGAAGCAGGACGGUACCUGACUAAGAAGCCCCGGCUAACUACGUGCCAGCAGCCGCGGUAAUACGUAGGGGGCAAGCGUUAUCCGGAUUUACUGGGUGUAAAGGGAGCGCAGGCGGCGAAGCAAGCCAGAGGUGAAAACCCGGGCUCAACCCCGAGGAUUGCCUUUGGAACUGUUUUGCUGGAGUGCUGGAGGGGCAGGCGGAAUUCCUGGUGUAGUGGUGAAAUGCGUAGAUAUCAGGAGGAACACCGGUGGCGAAGGCGGCCUGCUGGACAGAAACUGACGCUGAGGCUCGAAAGCGUGGGGAGCAAACAGGAUUAGAUACCCUGGUAGUCCACGCUGUAAACGAUGAAUACCCGUGUCCGCAG